rnacentral:rRNA from 1 species
UACGUAGGGUGCAAGCGUUAACCGGAAUUACUGGGCGUAAAGCGUGCGCAGGCGGUUUUGUAAGUCUGAUGUGAUAUCACCGGGCUCAACCUGUGAAUUGCAUUGGAGACUGCAAGGCUAGAAUCUGGCAGAGGGGGGUAGAAUUCCACGUGUAGCAGUGAAAUGCGUAGAGAUGUGGAGGAACACCGAUGGCGAAGGCAGCCCCCUGGGUCAAGAUUGACGCUCAUGCACGAAAGCGUGGGGAGCAAACAGG